rnacentral:pre_miRNA from 1 species
UGCAGCUGCUGCUGCUGCUGUUGAUGAUGAUGAUGAUGAUGAUGAUGAUCAUCAUCAUCAUCAUCAUCAUCAUCAUCAUCAUCUUCAUCAUCAUAA